rnacentral:rRNA from 1 species
AUACGGGAGGCAGCAGUAAGGAAUCUUCCGCAAUGGACGAAAGUCUGACGGAGCAACGCCGCGUGAGUGAGGAAGGUCUUCGGAUCGUAAAGCUCUGUUGCCAGGGAAGAAUCCCCUGGGGAGUCACUGCCCCGGGGUUGACGGUACCUGAGAAGAAAGCCCCGGCUAACUACGUGCCAGCAGCCGCGGUAAUACGUAGGGGGCGAGCGUUGUCCGGAAUUAUUGGGCGUAAAGCGCGCGCAGGCGGUUUUGUAAGUCCGAUUGUUUAAACCCGGGGCUCAACCUCGGGUCGCAAGGGAAACUGCAAGACUUGAGUGCAGGAGAGGGAAGCGGAAUUCCAUGUGUAGCGGUGAAAUGCGUAGAGAUAUGGAGGAACACCAGUGGCGAAGGCGGCUUCCUGGCCUGUAACUGACGCUGAGGCGCGAAAGCGUGGGGAGCAAACAGGAUUAGAUACCCUAGUAGUCCG